AAUUCGCCCUUUUCCGGUUGAUCCUGCCGGAGGCCAUUGCUAUCGGAGUCCGAUUUAGCCAUGCUAGUUGUGCGGGUUUAGACCCGCAGCGGAAAGCUCAGUAACACGUGGCCAAGCUACCCUGUGGACGGGAAUACUCUCGGGAAACUGAGGCUAAUCCCCGAUAAAGCUUUGCUCCUGGAAGGGGCAAAGCCGGAAACGCUCCGGCGCCACAGGAUGCGGCUGCGGUCGAUUAGGUAGACGGUGGGGUAACGGCCCACCGUGCCCAUAAUCGGUACGGGUUGUGAGAGCAAGAGCCCGGAGACGGAAUCUGAGACAAGAUUCCGGGCCCUACGGGGCGCAGCAGGCGCGAAACCUUUACACUGUACGAAAGUGCGAUAAGGGGACUCCGAGUGUGAAGGCAUAGAGCCUUCACUUUUGUACACCGUAAGGUGGUGCACGAAUAAGGACUGGGCAAGACCGGUGCCAGCCGCCGCGGUAAUACCGGCAGUCCGAGUGAUGGCCGAUCUUAUUGGGCCUAAAGCGUCCGUAGCUGGCUGAACAAGUCCGUUGGGAAAUCUGUCCGCUUAACGGGCAGGCGU
rnacentral:rRNA from 1 species